rnacentral:rRNA from 1 species
AGUGAACGCUGGCGGUAGGCCUAACACAUGCCAGUCGAACGGCGGCACAGUAAGAGCUUGCUCUUACGGGUGGCGAGUGGCGGACGGGUGAGGAAUACAUCGGAAUCUACUUUUUCGUGGGGGAUAACGUAGGGAAACUUACGCUAAUACCGCAUACGACCUACGGGUGAAAGCAGGGGAUCUUCGGACCUUGCGCGAUUGAAUGAGCCGAUGUCGGACUAGCUAGUUGGCGGGGUAAAGGCCCACCAAGGCGACGAUCCGUAGCUGGUCUGAGAGGAUGAUCAGCCACACUGGAACUGAGACACGGUCCAGACUCCUACGGGAGGCAGCAGUGGGGAAUAUUGGACAAUGGGCGCAAGCCUGAUCCAGCCAUACCGCGUGGGUGAAGAAGGCCUUCGGGUUGUAAAGCCCUUUUGUUGGGAAAGAAAAGCAGCAGGUUAAUACCCCGCUGUUCUGACGGUACCCAAAGAAUAAGCACCGGCUAACUUCGUG